rnacentral:rRNA from 1 species
GACGAACGCUGGCGGCGUGCUUAACACAUGCAAGUCGUACGGUAAGGCCCUUUCGGGGGUACACGAGUGGCGAACGGGUGAGUAACACGUGAGUAACCUGCCCACAACUUUGGGAUAACGCUAGGAAACUGGUGCUAAUACUGGAUAUGUGCUCCUGCUGCAUGGUGGGGGUUGGAAAGCUCCGGCGGUUGUGGAUGGACUCGCGGCCUAUCAGCUUGUUGGUGGGGUAGUGGCCUACCAAGGCGGCGACGGGUAGCCGGCCUGAGAGGGUGACCGGCCAAAUUGGGACUGAGAUACGGCCAAGACUCCUACGGGAGGCAGCAGUGGGGAAUAUUGCACAAUGGGCGGAAGCCUGAUGCAGCAACGCCGCGGGCGGGAUGACGGCCUUCGGGUUGUAAACCGCUUUCGGCAGGGACGAAGCUUUUUGGAACGGAACCGGCAGAAAAAGCACGGGCAAACUACGU